rnacentral:lncRNA from 1 species
AUUUAUAGUCUUGGCAUAUUGCUGCUUGAGAUGUUUACCGGAAGGAGGCCAACAGAAGGCACGUUCAGAGAUUCAUUGGAUUUGCAUAAGUUUGUCGAGGAUGCACUUCCAAAUAGAACCUUUGAGAUAGCUGACCCAACAAUGUGGCUGCACGGCGGACAACAUAAUAACACUGCAAGUAUUAGAAUCCAGGAGUGCUUGGUCUCGGUCUUCAGGCUUGGCAUAUCCUGCUCAAAGCAACAACCUCGAGACCGAGCACUGACGAGAGAUACAGCGGCAGAGAUGCACGCAAUCAGAGAUACGUACCUGAAAUUUACAGGGGAGGAUGGAGCAGAAAGAGAAGCCUCGACCCGAGAAAUUCAGAACAUCAUUGAAUAAACAAGCUGGUACAGGAUAUGAUCCU